rnacentral:rRNA from 1 species
GUUAAGCGACUAAGCGUACACGGUGGAUGCCCUGGCAGUCAGAGGCGAUGAAGGACGUGCUAAUCUGCGAAAAGCGCCGGCGAGGUGAUAUGAACCUUUGACCCGGCGAUGUCCGAAUGGGGAAACCCAGUGCAAUUCGUUGCACUAUCGUUAACUGAAUACAUAGGUUAACGAGGCGAACCGGGGGAACUGAAACAUCUAAGUACCCCGAGGAAAAGAAAUCAACCGAGAUUCCCCCAGUAGCGGCGAGCGAACGGGGAGGAGCCCAGAGUCUGAAUCAGUUUGUGUGUUAGUGGAACGGUCUGGAAAGUCCGGCGAUACAGGGUGACAGCCCCGUACACGAAAGCACACAGGCUGUGAACUCGAAGAGUAGGGCGGGACACGUGGUAUCCUGUCUGAAUAUGGGGGGACCAUCCUCCAAGGCUAAAUACUCCUGACUGACCGAUAGUGAACCAGUACCGUGAGGGAAAGGCGAAAAGAACCCCGGCGAGGGGAGUGAAAAAGAACCUGAAACCGUGUACGUACAAGCAGUGGGAGCAUCCUUCGGGGUGUGACUGCGUACCUUUUGUAUAAUGGGUCAGCGACUUAUAUUCUGUAGCAAGGUUAACCGAAUAGGGGAGCCGAAGGGAAACCGAGUCUUAACUGGGCGUUAAGUUGCAGGGUAUAGACCCGAAACCCGGUGAUCUAGCCAUGGGCAGGUUGAAGGUUGGGUAACACUAACUGGAGGACCGAACCGACUAAUGUUGAAAAAUUAGCGGAUGACCUGUGGCUGGGGGUGAAAGGCCAAUCAAACCGGGAGAUAGCUGGUUCUCCCCGAAAGCUAUUUAGGUAGCGCCUCGUGAACUCAUCUUCGGGGGUAGAGCACUGUUUCGGCUAGGGGGUCAUCCCGACUUACCAACCCGAUGCAAACUGCGAAUACCGAAGAAUGUUAUCACGGGAGACACACGGCGGGUGCUAACGUCCGUCGUGAAGAGGGAAACAACCCAGACCGCCAGCUAAGGUCCCAAAGUCAUGGUUAAGUGGGAAACGAUGUGGGAAGGCCCAGACAGCCAGGAUGUUGGCUUAGAAGCAGCCAUCAUUUAAAGAAAGCGUAAUAGCUCACUGGUCGAGUCGGCCUGCGCGGAAGAUGUAACGGGGCUAAACCAUGCACCGAAGCUGCGGCAGCGACACUGUGUGUUGUUGGGUAGGGGAGCGUUCUGUAAGCCGUUGAAGGUGUGCUGUGAGGCAUGCUGGAGGUAUCAGAAGUGCGAAUGCUGACAUAAGUAACGAUAAAGCGGGUGAAAAGCCCGCUCGCCGGAAGACCAAGGGUUCCUGUCCAACGUUAAUCGGGGCAGGGUGAGUCGACCCCUAAGGCGAGGCCGAAAGGCGUAGUCGAUGGGAAACAGGUUAAUAUUCCUGUACUUGGUGUUACUGCGAAGGGGGGACGGAGAAGGCUAUGUUAGCCGGGCGACGGUUGUCCCGGUUUAAGCAUGUAGGCGGAGGUUCCAGGUAAAUCCGGUACCUUUUAACGCUGAGGUGUGAUGACGAGGCACUACGGUGCUGAAGUAACAAAUGCCCUGCUUCCAGGAAAAGCCUCUAAGCAUCAGGUAACACGAAAUCGUACCCCAAACCGACACAGGUGGUCAGGUAGAGAAUACCAAGGCGCUUGAGAGAACUCGGGUGAAGGAACUAGGCAAAAUGGUGCCGUAACUUCGGGAGAAGGCACGCUGACAUGUAGGUGAAGCCCCUGCGGGUGGAGCUGAAGUCAGUCGAAGAUACCAGCUGGCUGCAACUGUUUAUUAAAAACACAGCACUGUGCAAACACGAAAGUGGACGUAUACGGUGUGACGCCUGCCCGGUGCCGGAAGGUUAAUUGAUGGGGUUAUCCUUAGGGAGAAGCUCUUGAUCGAAGCCCCGGUAAACGGCGGCCGUAACUAUAACGGUCCUAAGGUAGCGAAAUUCCUUGUCGGGUAAGUUCCGACCUGCACGAAUGGCGUAAUGAUGGCCAGGCUGUCUCCACCCGAGACUCAGUGAAAUUGAACUCGCUGUGAAGAUGCAGUGUACCCGCGGCAAGACGGAAAGACCCCGUGAACCUUUACUAUAGCUUGACACUGAACAUUGAGCCUUGAUGUGUAGGAUAGGUGGGAGGCUUUGAAGCGUGGACGCCAGUCUGCGUGGAGCCAACCUUGAAAUACCACCCUUUAAUGUUUGAUGUUCUAACCUGGCGCCGUAAUCCGGCGUGGGGACAGUGUCUGGUGGGUAGUUUGACUGGGGCGGUCUCCUCCUAAAGAGUAACGGAGGAGCACGAAGGUUGGCUAAUCCUGGUCGGACAUCAGGAGGUUAGUGCAAUGGCAUAAGCCAGCUUGACUGCGAGCGUGACGGCGCGAGCAGGUGCGAAAGCAGGUCAUAGUGAUCCGGUGGUUCUGAAUGGAAGGGCCAUCGCUCAACGGAUAAAAGGUACUCCGGGGAUAACAGGCUGAUACCGCCCAAGAGUUCAUAUCGACGGCGGUGUUUGGCACCUCGAUGUCGGCUCAUCACAUCCUGGGGCUGAAGUAGGUCCCAAGGGUAUGGCUGUUCGCCAUUUAAAGUGGUACGCGAGCUGGGUUUAGAACGUCGUGAGACAGUUCGGUCCCUAUCUGCCGUGGGCGCUGGAGAAUUGAGGGGGGCUGCUCCUAGUACGAGAGGACCGGAGUGGACGCAUCACUGGUGUUCGGGUUGUCAUGCCAAUGGCAUUGCCCGGUAGCUACAUGCGGAAGAGAUAAGUGCUGAAAGCAUCUAAGCACGAAACUUGCCCCGAGAUGAGUUCUCCCUGAGACCCAGAGUCUCCUGAAGGAACGUUAAAGACUAUGACGUUGAUAGGCCGGGUGUGUAAGCGCAGCGAUGCGUUGAGCUAACCGGUACUAAUGAACCGUGAGGCUUAACC